UGGUCUGUGUGUGUGUGCGCGCGCAAGAGAGUGUGUGAGUGUUCACAAGCAUGUGUGGAGCGUUAAUUUGGAAUGCCAUGUGUGUGUUUACAGUGCAGUGACCAGCAAAGACCACGCCACAUCUAAACGCAGAGAGUAAUAUACGGGAAGAGAGUAAAUGCAGCAGAGCUUGACUCACUAGACUUUCCCACAAUCCAUUGGAUCAUCAAUAUCAGCCAACUAAGAUGUAGAGGCUUUACCACACAUUCUGCAUGUGAACCUGAUACCACAUAGUCGUAAAGACUCUUUAUCCCAUGGGCGAAAUUAGGGAAAAGGAAAUGUUGACCUCAGGGGCCACACAGAGUGAGUAAAGCCCCCUAAACUGAACUUCAACUGCUUGACAUCCGUUCACGUCACCACCACAAGCCUCCAGGAAGAAGUUCCUUUUUGAACUGGUGCAGGAACUGACGCAGGGGUUCCUCUAUUCACUUCCACACAACUUCAGAACUGACCUGAGGUAAUGGGAGAUAGCAGGCUGAAAGAGGUGAGGCAGGAGACAUGUUAGAAACAGUGUUAAAACAGUUAAAAUGGCAGCUUGAAUCCUUUUUAAGAGGUUGAACUUGGCUUGAUAAAAAUGGCUUAAAAGACCAAGAACAAGUCCAGAAAUAAGUUAAAUAUAUUUUUUAAUCUGUUAAAACUAUUGUUGACAGACAAUUUAGGCCAAGUUUGAGAAAAUGCUGCAAAGGUUAUUCACACAUAUUAAUCAAUGAAUAAAAUACUAAUAUAUUUAAUACUAACAUAUUUGAUACUCUUA